GUCCAGGGGCGGGAAUCGAACCCACGACCUUCCGCUUACUGGGCAGAUGCCAUGUCCACUAGGCUACCCUGGA
rnacentral:tRNA from 1 species